rnacentral:rRNA from 1 species
GACAGAGGGUGCAAACGUUGUUCGGAAUUACUGGGCGUAAAGCGUGCGCAGGCGGUUUUGUAAGACCGAUGUGAAAUCCCCGGGCUUAACCUGGGAACUGCAUUGGUGACUGCAAGGCUUGAGUGUGUCAGAGGGAGGUGGAAUUCCGCGUGUAGCAGUGAAAUGCGUAGAUAUGCGGAGGAACACCGAUGGCGAAGGCAGCCUCCUGGGAUAACACUGACGCUCAUGCACGAAAGCGUGGGGAGCAAACAGG